UUGUUCGGAAUUACUGGGCGUAAAGGGCUCGUAGGCGGCCAACUAAGUCAGACGUGAAAUCCCUCGGCUUAACCGGGGAACUGCAUCUGAUACUGGAUGGCUUGAGUUCGGGAGAGGGAUGCGGAAUUCCAGGUGUAGCGGUGAAAUGCGUAGAUAUCUGGAGGAACACCGGUGGCGAAGGCGGCAUCCUGGACCGACACUGACGCUGAGGAGCGAAAGCCAGGGGAGCAAACGGG
rnacentral:rRNA from 1 species